CAGGGAGACAACAAAAUGUUUAAUAUUAUUAUUUUGUCACCUUAGGUCGAUCGGUAUCUCACGUUCUUAAUUUAUUAAGGAUUUCAUUUCCUAAGUUUUUCUAGGUCACACCCAUUAUUUUCCCUGGGCCAUUAGCUCAGGUGGUUAGAGCGCACCCCUGAUAAGGGUGAGGUCCCUGGUUCAAGUCCAGGAUGGCCCAUAUCUCUAUGUUGGGGGUAUAGCUCAGUUGGUAGAGCGCCUGCUUUGCAAGCAGGAUGUCAGCGGUUCGAGUCCGCUUACCUCCACUGAUUACCACCUCUUACAUAAUCUGUAGAAAGGGAAUUUUUGAGUCGUGACCAAAUUCUGAAAGAAUCUAGCUUCCUAAUGAAAUCAUUAAGAUGCUGGACUCAUUGAAUUAAUUUCAUUGUUUUCAGAGAACCUUGACAACUGCAUAGAUUAUUUUUUUAAAGACAAUAAGCAUCUUUAAUGAUGCAGAUUUAUUAUUUGUGCGAAUGCAUUAAUAACAAUUCUAUUAAGCUGAUGCUUCAAUUUUUGAAGUUAUU
rnacentral:tRNA from 1 species